GGGGAUGUUCUGGUUUUGACAGCAUUGGUUUUGGGCGGUAAGCACGUCGGGCGCUGCAGGCCGGCCCGUUAAUCCCGACCUCCGAGCCAUAACUGGCAACUACAACUAUUCAUACGCUUGCUAGUCUCCAAGAGACCUGGCAUCAAUCAGGGCCGCCAAGGAUGCGGAACUGACGUAUAUCCCUCCAGCUUUAGGCCGGUUCAGUCUGGACAAAGGGGUAUCAUCAAAACCGGAUGCAGGAGACAGACGCCUCUAAGCCUCCCCAAGUUUCAAGAGGAUAAGUCAGGGCUGGCCCGUCUUCCGGCAGGCCCGGAUCGAAAACCAAAGGAAGAAUAAGCGUGUAGAAAGCUGUCCGGGAUGAUGUUUGGACGAGGGUUCGACUCCCUCCAUCUCCACUU
rnacentral:tmRNA from 1 species